rnacentral:tRNA from 1 species
AAUAAAGUGGCCGAUAAAGGCAAAAGCCUGUAAAACUUUUCAUGGAAUUAUUCCCUUUAUUA